GUCAACGGUCAUACCACUUCGAACGCACAAGUUCUCGUCCGAUCACUUAAGUCAAGCAACGUUGGACGCGGUUACUUAAAUGUAAAGUACUUAAAUGGAUGACCGUUUGCGAACACCGUGUACUGUUGGCA
rnacentral:rRNA from 1 species